GGCAUAACUUUAGAAGAGGAAGCAGUUAGCAGAGAAUUGGGAGAAACCAGUGCACGUGAGAUUUGCCUAGCAGAGGAAUUUUUGGGGAUUUUGAUCGGGACGAUUUAGAGCAACCUUCGAUCCAAAGGUGAUGCUAGUGAGUGAAGGAUUAGCUGUCGCGAGUUGAGUCGGUUGUCGCUCUGAUACGUAGCACUCGGGGGGAUAAAACGAUUGUUUUUAUUAUUGUUUUAAUUGCUGAAUUUUAUUUAGUUUUGAUUUAAAUUGUAACUUAAAGUUACCGUGCAAAGAUGCUACGACUUGAUUUAAAUAUUUAGGAAGUUUGAUGA